CAGUAGCCGCGGGAAUACAGAGGGUGCGAGCGUUAAUUGGAUUUACUGGGCGUAAAGCGUGCGUAGGCGGCUUCUUAAGUCGGAUGUGAAAUCCCUGAGCUUAACUUAGGAAUUGCAUUCGAUACUGGGAAGCUAGAGUAUGGGAGAGGAUGGUAGAAUUCCAGGUGUAGCGGUGAAAUGCGUAGAGAUCUGGAGGAAUACCGAUGGCGAAGGCAGCCAUCUGGCCUAAUACUGACGCUGAGGUACGAAAGCAUGGGGAGCAAACAGGAUUAGAUACCCGCGUAGUCCCUGUCUCUUAUAC
rnacentral:rRNA from 1 species